GCAAACUGAUACACACCUCUCAAUUCUGGCAGGAGGAAAAGAAUAGGAGUGUUUAUGAAACGUAUAAGUAAACAGCAGGAUAGCCAGGCACACCGAGAGGCUACUUCCCCUCGUAAAAACCGACACCAGGCACCGUUUCCCGGCGCCGGAGAUUGUCCCGUUGCGUUCAGGAUUAAGUUUUUAUGCCAUCCAAAGGUGGAUCAUUAUCUAAAUCCGAGAUAACAAGCGAAUUUGAAAAUGCGUAGCCUGCGAUGCUGGUUCUGGAGCCCCCAAAGCCGACGUUUGAACUCUCACUAAACAUCCUGUCGAGGUAUAAAACAUCAGCUAGCUAACUUCCGGAAGAUUGGAGACUUUGAGGAGGAGAGGUGGAUAGAAAAUCAAGAGAGGAGAUAAUAUUUCAAGCUGUGACAGGAUGGCACUUGUCGACAAACACAAAGUGAAACGCCAGCGGCUGGACAGGAUCUGUGAGGACGAAGGCCAAGGCUUUAGCGGCGGUUCGCGUGUGUGAAUGAAAAGGGACCGUGGCUGCUGCUGUCUCUGCUGCACGAGAGAAGACGAGCAG